rnacentral:rRNA from 1 species
UACAGAGGGUGCAAGCGUUAAUCGGAAUUACUGGGCGUAAAGCGCACGUAGGCGGCUUGGUAAGUUGGAUGUGAAAUCCCCGGGCUUAACUUGGGAAUUGCAUUCAAGACUGCCUUGCUGGAGUGUUGGAGAGGAAAGCGGAAUUCCAGGUGUAGCGGUGAAAUGCGUAGAUAUCUGGAGGAACAUCAGUGGCGAAGGCGGCUUUCUGGCCAAACACUGACGCUGAGGUGCGAAAGCGUGGGGAGCAAACAGG